rnacentral:rRNA from 1 species
AUGUGGUUUAAUUCGAUGAUACGCGAGGAACCUUACCUGGGCUCAAAUGUAUGUUGACGUAUUCUGAAAGGGAUACUUCUUCGGACAAUAUACAAGGUGCUGCAUGGUUGUCGUCAGCUCGUGCCGUGAGGUGUCGGGUUAAGUCCCAUAACGAGCGCAGCCCUCGUGUUUAGUUGCUAACAGUUCGGCUGAGAACUCUAAACAGACUGCCUACGCAAGUAGGAGGAAGGUGAGGACGACGUCAAGUCAUCAUGGCCCUUACGGCCAGGGCUACACACGUGCUACAAUGGGGUAUACAAAGAGCAGCGAUACGGUGACGUGGAGCAAAUCUAGAAAAUGUCUCUCAGUUCGGAUUGUAGUCUGCAACUCGACUACAUGAAGUUGGAAUCGCUAGUAAUCGUAGAUCAGCAUGCCACGGUGAAUACGUUCCCGGGCCUU